UGGGGAAUAUUGCGCAAUGGGCGAAAGCCUGACGCAGCGACGCCGCGUGGGGGAUGAAGGCCUUCGGGUUGUAAACCCCUUUCAGCAGGGACGAAAUUGACGGUACCUGCAGAAGAAGCCCCGGCCAACUACGUGCCAGCAGCCGCGGUAAUACGUAGGGGGCGAGCGUUGUCCGGAAUUAUUGGGCGUAAAGAGCUCGUAGGCGGUUCGGCAAGUCACGUGUGAAAUCUCCACGCUCAACGUGGAGGCGCCACGUGAGACUGCCGUGACUCGAGUCCGGUAGGGGAGCGUGGAAUUCCCGGUGUAGCGGUGAAAUGCGCAGAGAUCGGGAGGAACACCCGUAGCGAAGGCGGCGCUCUGGGCCGGUACUGACGCUGAGGAGCGAAAGCGUGGGGAGCAAACAGGAUUAGAUACCC
rnacentral:rRNA from 1 species